UACGGGGGGGGCAAGCGUUGUUCGGAAUUACUGGGCGUAAAGGGCUCGUAGGCGGCCAACUAAGUCGGACGUGAAAUCCCUCGGCUUAACCGGGGAACUGCGUCCGAUACUGGAUGGCUUGAGUGUGGGAGAGGGAUGCGGAAUUCCAGGUGUAGCGGUGAAAUGCGUAGAUAUCUGGAGGAACACCGGUGGCGAAGGCGGCAUCCUGGGUCGAGACUGACGCUGAGGCGCGAAAGCGUGGGGAGCAAACAGG
rnacentral:rRNA from 1 species